GACCUUACAGUGAAAUGCUGAAUACAACAGGUGUAGUAGACCUCACAGUGAAAUGCUGAAUACAACAGGUGUAGUAGACCUUACAGUGAAAUGCUGAAUACAACAGGUGUAGAACCUUACAGUGAAAUGCUGAAUACAACAGGUGUAGAAGACCUUACAGUGAAAUGCUGAAUACAACAGGUGUAGUAGACCUUACAGUGAAAUGCUGAAUACAACAGGUGUAGUAGACCUUACAGUGAAAUGCUGAAUACAACAGGUGUAGUAGACCUUACAGUGAAAUGCUGAAUACAACAGGUGUAGUAGACCUUACAGUGAAAUGCUGAAUACAACAGGUGUAGUAGACCUCACAGUGAAAUGCUGAAUACAACAGGUGUAGUAGACCUUACAGUGAAAUGCUGAAUACAACAGGUGUAGUAGACCUUACAGUGGAAUGAUGAAUACAACAGGUGUAGAACCUUACAGUGAAAUGCUGAAUACAACAGGUGUAGUAGACCUUACAGUGAAAUGCUGAAUACAACAGGUGUAGUAGACCUCACAGUGAAAUGCUGAAUACAACAGGUGUAGUAGACCUUAGAGUGAAAUGCUGAAUACAACAGGUGUAGUAGACCUUACAGUGAAAUGCUGAAUACAACAGGUGUAGUAGACCUUACAGUGAAAUGCUGAAUACAACAGGUGUAGAACCUUACCGUGAAAUGCUGAAUACAACAGGUGUAGUAGACCUUACAGUGGAAUGAUGAAUACAACAGGUGUAGUAGACCUUACAGUGAAAUGCUGAAUACAACAGCUGUAGAACUUACAGUGAAAUGCUGAAUACAACAGGUGUAGUAGACCUUACAGUGAAAUGCUGAAUACAACAGCUGUAGAACUUACAGUGAAAUGCUGAAUACAACAGGUGUAGUAGACCUUACAGUGAAAUGCUGAAUACAACAGCUGUAGAACUUACAGUGAAAUGCUGAAUACAACAGGUGUAGUAGACCUUACAGUGAAAUGCUGAAUACAACAGGUGUAGUAGACCUUACAGUGAAAUGCUGAAUACAACAGGUGUAGUAGACCUGACAGUGAAAUGCUGAAUACAACAGGUGUAGUAGACCUCACAGUGAAAUGCUGAAUACAACAGGUGUAGUAGACCUCACAGUGAAAUGCUGAAUACAACAGGUGUAGUAGACCUCACAGUGAAAUGCUGAAUACAACAGGUGUAGUAGACCUCACAGUGAAAUGCUGAAUACAACAGGUGUAGAACCUUACAGUGAAAUGCUGAAUACAACAGGUGUAUAACCUUACAGUGAAAUGCUGAAUACAACAGGUGUAGUAGACCUCACAGUGAAAUGCUGAAUACAACAGGUGUAGUAGACCUCACAGUGAAAUGCUGAAUACAACAGGUGUAGUAGACCUUACAGUGAAAUGCUGAAUACAACAGGUGUAGAACUUACAAGCACUUAACCAACAAUGCAGAAAAUACCACAAAAGUAAGAGAUAAGAAUAACACAUUAAAGAUCAGCAGUAAAUAACAAUAGUGGGGCAAUAUACAGGGUAUUACGGUACAGAGACAAUGUGGAGGCUAUAUACAGGGUAUUACGGUACAGAGUCAAUGUGGAGGCUAUACACAGGGUAUUACGGUACAGAGUCAAUGUGGAGGCUAUACACAGGGGGGUACCGGUACAGAGUCAAUGUGGAGGCUAUAUACAGGGGGGUACCGGUACAGAGUCAAUGUGGAGGCUAUAUACAGGGUGUUACGGUACAGAGUCAAUGUGGAGGCUAUAUACAGGGUAUUACGGGUCAGAGUCAAUGUGGAGGCUAUAUACAGGGUAUUACGGUACAGAGUCAAUGUGGAGGCUAUAUACAGGGGGUACCGGUACAGAGUCAAUGUGGAGGCUAUAUACAGGGUGUUACGGUACAGAGUCAAUGUGGAGGCUAUAUACAGGGUAUUACGGUACAGAGUCAAUGUGGAGGCUAUAUACAGGGGUUACCGGUACAGAGUCAAUGUGGAGGCUAUAUACAGGGGUACUGGUACAGAGUCAAUGUGGAGGCUAUAUACAGGGUGUUACGGUACAGAGUCAAUGUGGAGGCUAUAUACAGGGGUUACCGGUACAGAGUCAAUGUGCGGUUAGUAGAUAGGUAAUUAUGUAAUUGAGGUUUUCAACCUCACACUUUGGGCUGGAUGUUUCAGUAUGUAGUUAAUUCAUGCAUAAUCACUGUCUUACCUCAAAAAUCCACAAAAAGUUGGAAAGCGACAAUUUGUUGAAACUGUGCCGCGCCAUUUCCCCUCCAUUUCCCUGGCAAUUAGAGUUCUAUCUCAUGAGCUUCAGCCACUCGUAUUUGAGUGACAGCUUGCAAGAAGCCAGCCCAGGGUUAUCCAAUGAGGUUGCAGGGCGCGCCACAGCAGAGAGAGAGAUGACGUGGUGAACAUAUGUGAUGUAGUACAACAUUUUCAGGGACCACUUUUGACUUGUGAGUGUUACUAUCAGCACUACUGGCUAAAAAGUACACAAAAAGUAGCAGAGAAUCUCUUUAAUGAGUCUGUUGACUGUAGUUUAUACAUGAUCGGACUGUUCCAGCUGGAACAACUAGUUUGUUGUGUGUCUUUUGUAUUAAAAUGUUCCAUCAGUUUAUGUUCCACAUUAUCCUGUUAUUAUACAACAUUAUCUUCACCAGAUCUCAAACCAGCCUUCUACAUUGUCACAUUAUAGUGUCAUUAUACAACAUUAUCUUCACCAGAUCUCAAACCAGCCUUCUACAUUGACCAUAUUAUCCUGUUAUUAUACAACAUUAUCUUCACCAGAUCUCAAACCAGCCUUCUACAUUGUCACAUUAUAGUGUCAUUAUACAACAUUAUCUUCACCAGAUCUCAAACCAGCCUUCUACAUUGACCAUAUUAUCCUGUUAUUAUACAGCAUUAUCUUCACCAGAUCUCAAACCAGCCUUCUACAUUGACCACAUUAUCCUGUUAUUAUACAACAUUAUCUUCACCAGAUCUCAAACCGGCCUUCUACAUUGUCACAUUAUAGUGUCAUUAUACAACAUUAUCAUCACCAGAUCUCAAACCAGCCUUCUACAUUGUCACAUUAUCCUGUUAUUAUACAGCAUUAUCUUCACCAGAUC
ensembl:lncRNA